AACGAACGCUGGCGGCAGGCCUAACACAUGCAAGUCGAGCGCACCUUCGGGUGAGCGGCGGACGGGUUAGUAACGCGUGGGAACGUGCCCAGAUCUAAGGAAUAGCCACUGGAAACGGUGAGUAAUACCUUAUACGCCCUUCGGGGGAAAGAUUUAUCGGAUUUGGAUCGGCCCGCGUUAGAUUAGGUAGUUGGUGGGGUAAUGGCCUACCAAGCCUACGAUCUAUAGCUGGUUUUAGAGGAUGAUCAGCAACACUGGGACUGAGACACGGCCCAGACUCCUACGGGAGGCAGCAGUGGGGAAUCUUAGACAAUGGGGGAAACCCUGAUCUAGCCAUGCCGCGUGAGUGACGAAGGCCCUAGGGUCGUAAAGCUCUUUCGCCAGGGAUGAUAAUGACAGUACCUGGUAAAGAAACCCCGGCUAACUCCGUGCCAGCCGCCGCCGUAAAAC
rnacentral:rRNA from 1 species